AAGUCGUAACAAGGUUUCCGUAGGUGAACCUGCGGAAGGAUCAUUACAGAGUUCAUGCCCUCACGGGUAGAUCUCCCACCCUUGAAUAUUAUACCUUCGUUGCUUUGGCAGGCCGUGGAAACACCAGAGGCUCCGGCUGAUGCGUGCCUGCCAGAGGAAACAAACUCUGUUUUUAGUGAUGUCUGAGUACUAUAUAAUAGUUAAAACUUUCAACAACGGAUCUCUUGGUUCUG
rnacentral:misc_RNA from 1 species